UUAUUAAAGUGGAGAAGUGAAGGGAGAAUAGAACAUAUUUUCUGGUUAUAAAGUCUGAAAAACAGAGAGAAAAGGAGAGCGUAUGUGUGACAUAGUGGCUGGAAAAAUCAAAGGAAUUGUUUGAAGUUAUUUAAGGCAAAGACGAGAGCCGGAGAGAGGUGGAAGUUUUGGCUGGAAACCUUGGGUAAAGAAAGAAGUCUAGGAUCAUCCAAGGUAAGGGAAGCUUACCAAUAUUUUGUGUUUUGAUGAUUAAUGUUCUUGUUGGGAAUCUUUGCAUGAUUUAUAUCAAUACUACUUGCUGUUUAAUCAAGAUAUGAUAUAUACUGUGACGAAUGGGUUUGUGAGUUCAUAUAUUAAUUUUUGUUUGUGAACGGGGACUAACCGUAUUAUUCAAGGUUACUGUAUGUAUGUAUCAGCAUGUUUAUAAAUGAUGUACAGUUAAAUUAGGGAUGGGUUGGGUGUAUUAGAUGAGAAAACUGUUUCAUACAUUUCAAUAUUAUACUACAUGCGAGGAUGAAAAUAGAACCUGUUGGUGUUUAGUAAAUGCGAGAGUCAUGCUUUCAGGUGGGUUUGCGUAAAGUGAAUAUAUGCAUAGAUGUAUAUUGUAUGAAUUGAAUGUAUACCAGGGGUUUUGGUUCCGUUCUUAGGUUUCAUCAUUAAGUGAAUGUAUGGGAUACAUGGUGUAUGGUAUUUUCAGAUAACUGUAAAGGUGUUGUUGUGUUGACAUGGAAGGAGAUUUAAGAUUGCAUUUCGGGAUAAGUUAUUAUGGUUGCACUGAUUAUUACAGAAUGAAGUGAAACGCUGCAGGGUAAGGAUUAAAUGGGGUAUAGGGUUAGUAACCCAUGUAAACAUGCAAUGGUGUGCGUGGGAAGGGCAAAUUGGAAGAAUAGAUACUGAAUGAAAGAGAAAUAAUUUAUUGGGUUUGAAUCAACAUUGUGAGAAGGACUUAGCUUUGAAUUACAUAAGGAAGAGAAGAAAAGAAGAAACAGAUAAAGGAAGUAGAAUUUUCAGUAAUAAUUAAUGGAUGAAGAAAGAAAUACAGAGAGGAAAUCUUGUAGGAACUUUAUAUCUUGCAUCCUUGAGGGGUUGAGUGCAUGAAGUAGAUCUGCAAAAUAAUUCUGAGCGUGUAAUAUUUUUAGAUGUUGAAUUCAUAAUGGAGUCUGCAAAAUAAGAUUUUAGAAGUUAAUAUUUAUAAGUUUUGAGUACAGUGAGAUUUUUUUUAGGUUUGCGUUAUUUGAGUGCUACCAAUGAAUCAAGGCACAUGGAAACUAGUUUUUGUUUUUUUUAAAUGAUAUUAUACUGGAUGCAUUUAUUGAUAGUAUUAUUUGAAGUAAAUUUUGGAAUGAUGGUGCAUUAUAUUAAAUUAUGAUUUGACGUUAUAUAUUGACUACGUAAUAUUCAAUUAAUUUUAUUAUAUUGUACGUUAUAUAAGUGAGUUAAGAUUAUAUUACGAAUAUUAUAUUAUAUUAUAUGAAGAAUAUUAUAAUAGAUU
rnacentral:lncRNA from 1 species